rnacentral:sRNA from 1 species
UUCGGAUUAAUACUCUUGACAUCUGGCCUCAAAUCAGGUAGGACUACCCGCUGAACUUAAGCAUAUCAAUAAGCGGAGGAAAAGAAACUAACAAGGAUUCCCCUAGUAACGGCGAGUGAAGCGGGAAGAGCUCAAAUUUGAAAUCUGGUAGCCUUCGGUUGCCCGAGUUGUAAUCUAGAGAAGUGUUUUCCGUGCCGGCCCAUGUACAAGUCCCUUGGAACAGGGCGUCAUAGAGGGUGAGAAUCCCGUCCUUGACAUGGACCCCCGGUGCUUUGUGAUACACUUUCAACGAGUCGAGUUGUUUGGGAAUGCAGCUCAAAAUGGGUGGUGAAUUCCAUCUAAAGCUAAAUAUUGGCGAGAGACCGAUAGCGAACAAGUACCGUGAGGGAAAGAUGAAAAGCACUUUGGAAAGAGAGUUAAACAGUACGUGAAAUUGUUGAAAGGGAAACGAUUGAAGUCAGUCAUGCUCUUGGGACUUACCUCCCUUGAGUGGGGUCAACAUCAGUUUUGAUCGAUGGAUAAAGGCACGGGGAAGGUAGCACUCUCGGGUGAACUUAUAGCCUCGCGUCAUAUACAUUGAUUGGGACUGAGGAACGCAGCAUGCCUUAUGGCCGGGAU